rnacentral:miRNA from 3 species
AUGUCACUCGGCCCACUACCC